rnacentral:rRNA from 1 species
AGAGUUUGAUCCUGGCUCAGAUUGAACGCUGGCGGCAGGCUUAACACAUGCAAGUCGAGCGGAAACGAUACCAGCUUGCUGGUAGGCGUCGAGCGGCGGACGGGUGAGUAAUACUUAGGAAUCUACCUAGUAGUGGGGGAUAGCUCGGGGAAACUCGAAUUAAUACCGCAUACGACCUACGGGAGAAAGGGGGCAGUUUACUGCUCUCGCUAUUAGAUGAGCCUAAGUCGGAUUAGCUAGAUGGUGGGGUAAAGGCCUACCAUGGCGACGAUCUGUAGCUGGUCUGAGAGGAUGAUCAGCCACACCGGGACUGAGACACGGCCCGGACUCCUACGGGAGGCAGCAGUGGGGAAUAUUGGACAAUGGGGGAAACCCUGAUCCAGCCAUGCCGCGUGUGUGAAGAAGGCCUUUUGGUUGUAAAGCACUUUAAGCAGUGAAGAAGACUCCUCGGUUAAUACCCGUGGACGAUGACAUUAGCUGCAGAAUAAGCACCGGCUAACUCUGUGCCAGCAGCCGCGGUAAUACAGAGGGUGCAAGCGUUAAUCGGAAUUACUGGGCGUAAAGCGAGCGUAGGUGGCUUGAUAAGUCAGAUGUGAAAUCCCCGGGCUUAACCUGGGAACUGCAUCUGAAACUGUUAGGCUAGAGUAGGUGAGAGGAAGGUAGAAUUCCAGGUGUAGCGGUGAAAUGCGUAGAGAUCUGGAGGAAUACCGAUGGCGAAGGCAGCCUUCUGGCAUCAUACUGACACUGAGGCUCGAAAGCGUGGGUAGCAAACAGGAUUAGAUACCCUGGUAGUCCACGCCGUAAACGAUGUCUACUAGUCGUUGGGUCCCU